GGCAAGAUGGCCGAGCGGUCUAAGGCGCUAGGGUCAGGUUAUCUGAUCAUCUCAUAUUCUUCGGAAUAUUCCUAGUCUCGAAAGGGGCGUGGGUUCGAAUCCCACUCUUGUCA